GUCCUCAUAGCUCAGCAGGAUAGAGCACACGCCUUCUAAGCGUGCGGUCGUACGUUCGAAUCGUACUGGGGACGCCA
rnacentral:tRNA from 1 species